rnacentral:rRNA from 1 species
GGGUUCAGAACGUCGUGAGACAGUUCGGUCCCUAUCCGUCGCGGGCGCAGGAAAUUUGAGAGGAGCUGUCCUUAGUACGAGAGGACCGGGAUGGACACACCGCUGGUGUACCAGUUGUUCCGCCAGGAGCAUCGCUGGGUAGCUAUGUGUGGCAGGGAUAAACGCUGAAAGCAUCUAAGCGUGAAGCCCCCCUCAAGAUGAGAUUUCCCAUUUCUUCGGAAAGUAAGAUCCCUGAAAGAUGAUCAGGUAGAUAGGUUUGGAGUGGAAGUGUAGCGAUACAUGGAGCGGACAAAUACUAAUCGAUCGAGGACUUAACCAAAA